GAUGAACGCUGGCGGCGUGCCUAACACAUGCAAGUCGAGCGAACCCUUCGGGGUGAGCGGCGGACGGGUGAGUAACGCGUGGGUAACCUGCCCUGUACACACGGAUAACAUACCGAAAGGUAUGCUAAUACGGGAUAACAUAUGAGAGUCGCAUGGCUUUCAUAUCAAAGCUCCGGCGGUACAGGAUGGACCCGCGUCUGAUUAGCUAGUUGGUAAGGUAACGGCUUACCAAGGCAACGAUCAGUAGCCGACCUGAGAGGGUGAUCGGCCACAUUGGAACUGAGACACGGUCCAAACUCCUACGGGAGGCAGCAGUGGGGAAUAUUGCACAAUGGGCGAAAGCCUGAUGCAGCAACGCCGCGUGAGCGAUGAAGGCCUUCGGGUCGUAAAGCUCUGUCCUCAAGGAAGAUAAUGACGGUACUUGAGGAGGAAGCCCCGGCUAACUACGUGCCAGCAGCCGCGGUAAAAC
rnacentral:rRNA from 1 species